GUCGCGGGGUCGCGGGGUCGCGGGGUCGCGGGUCUUGGUGGGCUGAGGGGGCGGGGCCAGUGUGUGCGGUCUGGGCACUUCCUUCCGCUCCGGGCGCGGCGUUUCCGGUCCGUCCCGUCCCGCGCGGGGAGUCUCAGGGCGUCCACGCAGGUGUGCCGGGCCGCUUCUGUUCUGCAAGGAGGCAGCCUGCACGUGAUGGACAAAAUUCCCGUCCAAAGACCAAAGCACCUUUGAGUCCUUCUCAGAGAGGAGACCAGAGGUCUUCACAGAGGACCCUCGAGGGGACAGAGGGACAGUGUCUGCAAACAAGAAACUGAGGGCUCCUGCUUCCCAGGAGGAUGGAAUGAGAGCCGCCAUUGAAUCUGGAGCUCCAUUAACCAUUGUCUUAUCCAGUGAAGACCAUCCUGAGGGACGGCCAAGAACAUGGCUGGGUGGUGAAGGAGGAGGAGGCACGGUACAGGUAUAGACAGCAUUCAAGGGGAGGCCUUAUUGCCUGGAGGCCAGAGGUCAGUGGUCAGGACCUGGGCUGGUGUCUUCCUGGUCAUGUGGGGUGUUGCUUUUGGUCCAAGUCCAUUUGUAGUGGACAGAAACUGGAGAGUCUGGACAGCCUCCAGAUCAGGUCUCUGAGUGCUCUCCUGGGUGAUCUGGCACGGAAUGUGUCUUAGUUUAUUUGGGGGCUUAAGGCGCGUCUGGACGGGCAUCUGGUCAAAUCUCUUGCCGGAUGCCUCGAGGCUGAGCUUAGAGUCCUGGCCCCGUAUACAUGCAGCAGGAUGUGAGUUCAGUGUUGAGGGCAUAUUAUGACACUUGAUUUGUGUCUGUUG
rnacentral:lncRNA from 1 species